AGAGUUUGAUCCUGGCUCAGAACGAACGCUGGCGGCGUGCUUAACACAUGCAAGUCGAACGAGAAAGUUUUCUUCGGAAAACGAGUAAAGUGGCGCACGGGUGAGUAACGCGUAGAUAACCUGCCUGGAUGUCUGGGAUAACCCUUCGAAAGGGGGACUAAUACCGGAUACGCUGGUUUCUCAUAAGGGGAAUCAGGAAAGAUGGCCUCUGAUGUAAGCUAUCGCAUUUUGAGGGGUCUGCGUACCAUUAGCUUGUUGGUGGGGUAACGGCCUACCAAGGCGACGAUGGUUAGCGGGUCUGAGAGGAUGAUCCGUCACACUGGCACUGAAACACGGGCCAGACUCCUACGGGAGGCAGCAGUGAGGAAUAUUGCGCAAUGGGGGAAACCCUGACGCAGCGACGCCGCGUGAGUGAGGAAGGCCUUCGGGUCGUAAAGCUCUGUCAGAAGGGAAGAAGUGUUCAACGGUUAAUACCCGUUGGAUUUGACNGGUACCUUCAAAGGAAGCACCCGGCUAACUCCCGUGCCAGCAGCCGCGGUAAUACGGAAGGGUGCAGGCGUUGUUCCGGAAUCACUGGGCGUAAAAGGGCGCGCAGGCGGUUUUAGUUAGUCAGAUGGGAAAGCCCCCGGCUCCACCCAUGGAAAUGCAUUUUGAAACUGUCAAACUUGAGUCCCGAAGGGGAAAGUGGAAUUCCCGGUGUAGAAGUGGAAAUUCGUAAAAUCCCGGAAGAAAACCAGAGGCGAAGGGGACUUACUGGCACGAUACCCACCCUGAAGCCCGGAAACGGGGGGGACCAACAGGAUUAGAUACCCUGGUAGUCCACGCCGUAACCGAUGUCAACUAGGUGUAGGGGGUGUUGAUACCCCUUGUGCCGCAGCUAACGCAUUAAGUUGACCGCCUGGGGAGUACGGUCGCAAGAUUAAAACUCAAAUGAAUUGACGGGGGCCCGCACAAGCGGUGGAGUAUGUGGUUUAAUUCGAUGCACCGCGAAGAACCUUACCUGGUCUUGACAUCCACGGAAUUCUUAGGAAACUAGGGAGUGCCUUCAUUCGAAGGAGCCUUGAGACAGGUGCUGCAUGGCUGUCGUCAGCUCGUGUUGUGAAAUGUUGGGUUAAGUCCCGCAACGAGCGCAACCCUUGCCUUUUGUUGCCAUCGGCUCAGCCGGGAACUCAAAAGGGACUGCCGGUGUCAAACCGGAGGAAGGUGGGGAUGACGUCAAGUCCUCAUGGCCUUUAUGACCAGGGCUACACACGUACUACAAUGGCCGAUACAAAGAGCAGCGACACUGCGAAGUCGAGCCGAUCCCAUAAAUUCGGUCGUAGUCCGGAUUGGAGUCUGCAACUCGACUCCAUGAAGUUGGAAUCGCUAGUAAUCGCGGAUCAGAAUGCCGCGGUGAAUACGUUCCCGGGCCUUGUACACACCGCCCGUCACACCAUGGGAGUCGGUUGUACAAGAAGCAGUUGAGUUAACCGCAAGGGGGGCGUUUACCACUUUGUGAUUCAUGACUGGGGUGAAGUCGUAACAAGGUAACCGU
rnacentral:rRNA from 1 species